UGGGGAAUCUUGGACAAUGGGGGCAACCCUGAUCCAGCGACGCCGCGUGGGUGAUGAAGGCCUUCGGGUUGUAAAGCCUUUUUCUCGGUGAGGAUAAUGACGGUAACCGGUAAAGAAGCCCCGGCUAACUUCGUGCCAGCAGCCGCGGUAAUACGAAGGGGGCUAGCGUUGUUCGGAAUUACUGGGCGUAAAGCGCGCGUAGGCGGAUCUUUAAGUCAGGGGUGAAAUCCCGGGGCUCAACCUCGGAAUUGCCUCUGAUACUGGAGAUCUUGAGUCCGAGAGAGGUGAGUGGAACUCCGAGUGUAGAGGUGAAAUUCGUAGAUAUUCGGAAGAACACCAGUGGCGAAGGCGGCUCACUGGCUCGGUACUGACGCUGAGGUGCGAAAGCGUGGGGAGCAAACAGGAUUAGAUACCCGGGUAGUCC
rnacentral:rRNA from 1 species